GGCUUCGUAGCUCAGCUGGUAGAACGUACGCGUACAAAACGUAGGCGGCGUCUGUGCGUGGGUUUGAAUCCUACCGAGGCUA
rnacentral:tRNA from 1 species